UACGGGGGGGGCAAGCGUUGUUCGGAAUUACUGGGCGUAAAGGGCUCGUAGGCGGUCAACUAAGUCAGACGUGAAAUCCCUCGGCUUAACCGGGGAACUGCGUCUGAUACUGGAUGGCUCGAGUUUGGGAGAGGGAUGCGGAAUUCCAGGUGUAGCGGUGAAAUGCGUAGAUAUCUGGAGGAACACCGGUGGCGAAGGCGGCAUCCUGGACCAAAACUGACGCUGAUGCGCGAAAGCCAGGGGAGCAAACGGG
rnacentral:rRNA from 1 species